UUUUUAGGCAGGCAGGUUUUAAGGCAGCCAGCCUGAGAGAGUUGGUUUGAUGGGCUGCUUUCAGCUGCACAGCAAGAACAAGCCACAGGCAGGGCAGUCUUGUCUGACUGGAGCCAACUUUCACACUAUGACCUGAAUAAAAUCAGCAGUUGAAACUCGACUAGAGAAGAAAGGAAGUAGUCUGCUGAUAGCACUAUUUUUAAAAAAAUGCAUUUGCUUUGAGCCUGAGUCUGUCAUUUGAAAUAGAGGUACCCAGCUAUCAUUCUGGGUAGCUGAGAGUUCACACUCUGGAGUCACCACCUACUAACUCUGUAAUAUGGGCCACCAACCUUUCAAGGACAAUGAGUACCAAAUAAGAGGAGACACAGAAGGAGCUCAGAGCAGUCCUUGGCUCACAGUUGGUGCUCAGCGAUGUCGGCUAUGCUGCCACCACCAGCACUGCUGAUGAAGAAGGAAGCAGGGCCAUUAGACUGCAUCUGCUGGACCUAAGGGGCCCAGACUCUUCCUGGGACAUGGGACAUGGACAAACCAAGGUUUAUUCCCUUGAGCAAAAUCAAUCUGUUCAUGAAAAAACAGAGAACACUGCAAUCCUUAAGUAAAAUAAUAGCUGGGGGACCGUUGGACUCCAAGGCCAGCACCUCCCCACUGCACAGAUCCCACAGAUUUGAUGUCAGAAAUCUAAAGAAGAAAAGAAAAGAAAAUAACAUUGAACCUGGUUUGGUUUAAACUCUCUCUUAAGCAGGCCUCUUUCAAAUGUGAGAAAGUUCAGCUCUCAACAUGUAUUAACAAAAGGUGUUUACAACAGAAUGCCUGGUUGUGCCUAAUAAUGGCUUUGCUCUUUGAAUUAAUUCCUUCCUGGUGACAAAGGCUGAGCUUUUGAACUUCUGGGUAUGGUUAGGCAGGGCAUUUUUGCUUGGCUUGGCUCUCUUAAAUGAGUAGAAAAGGCUUGGUUGGGCACCUGGUAUUUUGUGGCCAGUAAUUAUGUUACAAUUGUUACUGUGCAUCACCGAAACUUCAUUUUUUGACCAAAAGCCAACUGUACUCUUUAAAACAAACCUCUUUUGAAAGUCUAGUGUGCUUUGAAAUAAUUUUAAAAUCCAUCUGUAAAUAGGGUUUGGCACAAGUCAGUUUGUUAAAGAUAAUGUUUUGCUUUAACAUAGUAUCCCUUUGCCUGCCCCUUGUCUGAGUCUCUUCAGCUCUUACAAGCAGUAUGUAACCUUUCCACUUAAGCCAUCUCAAUGCUUCCUUCCCCUUCAUCAGUGUGGCUGUAAUGUGCAUGACAUCCCUCCAGGGAACAGAUUUACUCUAGGGUGUGUGCUCAUAACUGAGUCAGGGUGAUAAACACUUAAAUAGCAGAGAAAUCCACAUUUAGAAGACCAGUAAGUUAUCUAUAUGGGCAGGCUUUCCCAGCUGUGGGUCUUCUGAGACAACCAGGUCCUCAAUUCUUAACUGAAAACUUGAUCAAGCCAUCAGGGUGGAGCCAUAGGGUUGAAGUGGGUGGGUGGUGAUAUACAUUUAAAGACCCAUCAGGCAGGAGGGGUUCUCAAAUACAAGAACUCCCAUCAAUGCCUCCUCUCCUCACUGUUAGUUUCAGAACAAUAACACAGAUACUCACCUCACAAGGACCUGGUGAAGUUAAUUGUGAUACACAUGUGAUUGAGAAACGGGUUUUUCUCUUGGUAUUCCCCUACUUACUCCCCCCUGUCUCAAGCAGGGGGGCCCUGGACGGCAGGCCCUGUUGCAAUGCCUGAAGGUGGGGAAAUGAUGUGACAGGAUAAACAGCAAGACAAGAACAUCAACUUCUGUGAGUUGUGUUUUGUGUUACAAAAACUCUCAGAGGACCAGGCGCAGUGGCUCACGUCUGUAAUCCUAGCUCUCUGGGAGGCUGAGGUGGGAAGAUUGC